rnacentral:lncRNA from 1 species
UCCUGAUGAUACUAUCUGUUAUAGUAGUAACAGCAACGUCCUUUCCUUUCGAGGGAAUAUUUUCAUGUGCACUCCUUGUAACAAAAAAAUAGAGAGUUUAACAGUCUUUCGUCUGAAAUUGUUGACCAGAUCAUAUUUUUAAACGAACACAAAAUCAAAGUAACCUGCGGGGAACCCUACACAACUGAUUGAGACAUUUUUAACGGUGUUUGUACACGGAUCAACACUUUCAUGGAUUAAUAAUUAGCUCAUCACAAUCCG